rfam:Sorghum bicolor cultivar BTx623 chromosome 1, whole genome shotgun sequence.
UCAAGUUUGACCACUCGUCUUAUUCAAAGUUUUAUACAAAAUAUCAUUUUUUUUGUUGUGUAUUGGUUUAUUAAUAAAAGUUCUUCAAGAAUGACUUAAAUUUGACUAUAUUUACACAAAUUUUUUGAAUAAGACGAGUGGUCAAACUUGG